UACGGGGGGGGCAAGCGUUGUUCGGAAUUACUGGGCGUAAAGGGCGUGUAGGCGGCCAACUAAGUCCGACGUGAAAUCCCCAGGCUUAACCUGGGAACUGCGUCGGAUACUGGAUGGCUUGAAUCCGGGAGAGGGAUGCAGAAUUCCAGGUGUAGCGGUGAAAUGCGUAGAUAUCUGGAGGAAUACCGGUGGCGAAGGCGGCAUCCUGGACCGGCAUUGACGCUGAAGCGCGAAAGCGUGGGGAGCGAACAGG
rnacentral:rRNA from 1 species